rnacentral:rRNA from 1 species
UGCCAGCCGCCGCGGUAAUACGGAGGGGGUUAGCGUUAAUCGGAAUCACUGAGCGUAAAGCGUACGUAGGUGGCAAAGUCAGUCAGAGGUGAAAUCCUACGGCUUAACCGUAGAACUGCCUUUGAUACUUCGGCUCUUGAGUCUCGGAGAGGUCACUAGAAUUCGUGGUGUAGCGGUGAAAUGCGUAGAUAUCACGAGGAAUACCAGAAGCGUAGGCGAGUGGCUGGACGAGUACUGACGCUGAGGCACGAAAGCGUGGGGAGCAAACAGGAUUAGAUA